GUGCGCUGCGCCUAAAUCUAGGACUUUUCCAACAUCUUUUUGACCAGAGGUCCUUUAACAUCCUUUGACCACAGUGUCACAUCCAACUGCUCUCAUCAAUGUCUUUAUGUAAAUGCGUCCAUUUGUGCAACGCCUACCUGAUUUACUUCGGUGAAUAAACUUUAUCUCAAACUUUUCCUCUUCCCAUUUUUAUCCCGUCAUUGCAGUUCGUUCGUUUUACCGUUAAAACCAACUGGCGCCGAAACGGAUAUUUUGAACAUCAUUCUUUUUUUCUCUUUUCUCAUUCACUUGCAACUCAGUGUAAAUCAGUCAUCAUAAUUUACAGUGUUGAAAACCCAAUAAAUUAAUCGCUAAUUUAUUGCAAAGCGUUGCGUGGUUUUUAGAAGGGUGCAGAUCCGUGUUACGGGCGCGUUACGGGGGUCAAAAAUCCGAUUUGCAGCGUUACGCAUUUCAUAAAUGACCCCGGAGCCCUAGACUGGCCCUGAGUCAGUGGCCCAGAAAACUCCAAUCUACGAGAUUCUUUCGCUUGUUCCUAAAUCGAACUUUUCGGAGGAAACUGAAUAUUACCGUGUCAUACGCUAAUUGCCAGCCAUCAGGAUUCAUGGAGGGCAUAAUGUGGAUCCUAGUUGACUGGAUGAGAUCUACGAUUUCUUCAUCGCCGGCCAGGUAUGCGUCGCACAUGUAGUCGGCCAGUUUCAACAGCAGCUCCCGGCCUAGAACUUCAUUACCGUGCAUAUUGCCGAUGUAUUUAAACUCCGGCUUGACUGCAACACACAAAAACACGACACCUUCAGAACAGAGCGACUUGUUUUGUCGUUAGAAACGGUCAACAUCACUGAAAUAAAUGUUUCGAAAACAUCUUUUCGAAAUUAAUGUGAAAUUCUCUGUGAUCAUAAAGAAUUUUUUUUUACUAUUUUUUAAAGUUUUUGUUUGUACAUAAAACUUGAAAAAUACAGUGGUAUGCUUUUUAUAA